rnacentral:lncRNA from 1 species
AUAUUUUAAUUAGAAUUUUUGCAUCUAUGUUGACUAGGAGUAUUAAUUAGCAUAUAAAUUUCUUGCAGUGGGCUUGCCUGGCUUUGGUGUAAGGGUAAUGGUGGCCUUAUAAAAUGAAUUUGAGAGUGUUCUCUCCUUUUCAUUUUUUUUGGAAGAGGUUGAGAAAGUUGAUAUUAAUUUUUUUUUUUUUUAAUUUUUGGUAGACUUCUCCAGUGAAGCCAUCUGGUCUUGGGCUUUUCUUUGUUUGGAGGUUUCUGAUUAGUGAUUCAAUCUCCUUAGUCAUUAUUGGUCUGUUCAGAUUUUCUAUUUCUUCGUGAUUGGUAGGUUGCAUGUUUAUCCAUUUCCCCUAGGUUGUCCAAUUGGCCUGAUCCUUUUUUUUUCUUAAUUUUAAAGGCUUAUUUAUUUAUUUAUUCAGGACAGAGGGAGAGAGAGAGAACAGGGGGAGAGGCCGAGAGGGAGAGAGAGAGAGAGAGAGAGAAUGAGAAUCUCAUGCAGACUCCAGACUGAGCACAGAACUUGACCUGAACUGGGGUCAACCUCAUGACCUGAACUGAAAUCAAGAGUUCGACACUUAAUGAACUGAGUCACCCAGGCACCUUUGGCCUGGUUCUCAAAAAUGUCAUGUGUCAGGCUAAUAGGAGGGAGAGCUCAGUGUGAAGCAUCAGCAAAGGUACAGAGAUAGGAAUCAGCUUGGAACAUUGGCUGCCUGUGUUGGGUGUAGGUGGCUUAGGUGGAAGAAUAGUAGCUUCUAAGGUUCACAGGCUGGCUGUAAGAAGAACCGUAGUGGGAUGUGACUGGUGGGGAGGGUGGUGAUCAUCAACAAUUUAUUAGGGUAAAUGAUUUGAAUUUUACUUUAUAGAUUGUUAGAAUCCAUUGGAAGGAUUUUGAGUAAUGAAUGAUUUUGAUGGUUAAUAAACUGUGUAUUAUUACUUAAAAGUCUCUCCCUCAAAAUUUGCCUAAGUCUCUGAGUCAAAAGGGGAGUUUUUUUUUUAAUUUUUAUUUAUUUAUGAUAGUCACAGAGAGAGAGAGAGAGGCAGAGACAUAGGCAGAGGGAGAAGCAGGCUCCAUGCACCGGGAGACUGAUGUGGGAUUCGAUCCCGGGUCUCCAGGAUUGUGCCAUGGGCCAAAGGUAGGCGCUAAACCACUGCGCACCCAGAGAUCACCAAAAGGGGAGAUUUAAUGGAACUGUUCAAUUAGAUGUUUCCUACUUCUGAUGUACUUGCUUGUUAUCAGCAGAUAGGUAAAUUUAAAAAUAGUGAAUGCUUUAAAAAAGAAGACAAACUUACUUAUUGACAGAUCCACUCUCUCAUUUUCAGAUUACAUGGAAUUAACCAAAUUACCUGUUUAUUGUUUUCUGCAAAUUUGAAAUUGAAUGUUCAUUGGGCACCUCUGCAACUCAAUAAAAUCUUUUAGAAGUAUUUACAGAGCUCAUAAAUCUUAAUGAGGCUGACAUAGGAUGAAAAAUAGUUCAAAUAAAAUGUAUGAAAAUAAAAAGCCAUCUUCCUGCCCAAAGAUUAAUUCUAAUCCAAACAAUGUAUCCAGCUCAGCUUUAUGUAGCCACAAAGAAUAUAGAAAGACAUUGGUUAUACUUAGUGCUCAGACUUCAGGACUUAUUCUGUUUAUCUAUCUAAUUAAUUAAUUGGUUGAUUUUGUCUUAAGCAUUGAAAACCCAAUAUGAAGUAUAAGGACCCUGUAAAAUUAGAUAUAGCCAAGUGUAUUGUUGCUUUAUCUGAUUUGUAUUAUACUCAUUAGUUGGUUUAUUUUUAUGCAACAUUUUUGUAAAGCCAACCCAGCAUUUAUCUAGUCUACAUGCAGAAACCUUAUGAGAAACAAUUCAAAAGAUGUUUCUCCUCUGCUGGAUUUGCUGCUGAAAACACCAAGCAUAACUGAUACUGCUUAAGAAAAUGUACGCUUCAAAAAGAAAUUCUGUAUAUGCAGUGCAAAGCCUGAGGAUGUAAAGAUAAAGAUAAACCUGAGCUAAGUCUAAGUGCUGGCUCCCAGACUAAGUCUUGUGCCAAGAAGACUCGGUGAGAAUGCUCCUCAGGCUGAGCUCUAGGUCUCUUCUGUAGCUGGGAAGGGAAGAUUUGAAAGAAGGGAAGAUUUAAAAGUACAGUCUGGUGUUAGGGUGGUAAGAAGAGAAAUAGACAAAACUCUUAGUGAAUGGACUAUUUAUUUGGUAAUCCAAAGACACCACGGGCGUGGUUGGUAACCCUUCAGCUAGUGGCAGUGCUCUUCAACCUGUUAUCUAAUAGGAUAUAAAAUCCUGCUCAAGUAAUUGACUAAUGAUUAUACAAGUAAGUAAGUGAACUGAAAUGGAAGAACAAGUAUAAGCUACCCAUAAAGUUCAAGUUUAUUUGCUUAAUGACAGUUGACCUUUCAGGUGGGAUACUACAGAUGUCAGGAUAGAGAAGAGGCUCACAGCUUAACCUGUACACUCUAAACAAACUAUAAACCUGAGGAUUAGAAAUUAUGUAUGUUUUUGAAUAAAAUCUGAGUGUUGCUUAGACAUAUACUUGAGAAAUCUGCUUUUGUUAAGCUUUCUGUGCUUUGUUCCAUUAAACAAAAUGCUUUCUAUCCAUUUGAAAGAGUGAUUAAUAAGUUACAUGUUUUGCAUAAAAAGUUUGAUUUGUUGGUGGAAAGAGUCUAUCUUUCCCUCCCUAAUAUUCACCAAAGAUGAUCUCCACCAGUUUGGCAGACAUAUUAAUUAAGAGUCUUUCAUUUGGGGGAUCCCUGGGUGGCUCAGUGGUUUAGCGCUUGCCUUUGGCCCAGGGCAUGAUCCUGGAGUCCUGGGAUCAAGUCCCAUGUCAGGCUCUCUGCAUGGAGUCUGCUUCUCCCUCUGCCUGUGUCUCUGCCUCUCUCUUUCUGUGUCUCUCAUGAAUAAAUAAAUAGAAUCUAAAAAAAAAAAAAAAA